rnacentral:lncRNA from 1 species
ACUCAUGAUUCAUGGCUCUCCACCCCAAGCAUCGGAACUUGCCCAACUUCACCACAGAAGGAAACAGACUGUAAGCUUGGAGGGCCAGGGAGGAAACCGGAGGCAUGUGUGGGAGGAUUAGAAACAUGAAAAGAUAUUUACAGUAAGGUUCGCUUGUCAUCCUCUUGAACUGGGGGUGCAUAGAGUACAAUAAGACCCCAUGUGAGUAUGUUAGAUGAUAAGGCUCAGGUUGGAUGGGUGUGUAGAGUAAAGGCUUUGCAUCACCUUUGCCAGGGUGAGGGAAGGCUAUGGAUAGCACAGGGGACCUUGAUGAUCGGGUGAGGGAGCCCAUGUGGACAUAGUGGUCACCAGCUACUUCCUAGUUCUCUACAUGGGAGAAAGAGCCCUUCUCUGUAAUCAUGGAAGCUCAAGUUCUUGGUGGUUCAGAGGUUAGAGACCUCUGAUUACUAGGACAGAGCAGAAUAGCAGGGCUGGUCCUGGUAGAUCAGACAUCUCAUGACAUCCUUUAAAAGGGACUAGAAUAUUCAGAACUCCGGUGUAACUAAAUGAUCCUCAAGCUUUACCAGCAGGUGAGCAAGGUCCCAUUGUAUUUGGUACUCACAUCCCCACCAAUUCUGUAAAAGUUUGCCAACUUUCCCCUCCAUCCCCUGCACCCUUUCACCAAAAGAUAUGCCUAAGAGUUCCCAAGAGACGUCUAACAUAGGCCUGCAUGUCAGCCCAGUCUUCUGGGCUGAGCUGCUGCACUGUUGCUGGCCUUGAUGGCUGAACCUGAUCUCUGUUGUGGCACCCACCACUCUUUCUCAAGCCUUGACACCUUGGCAGGCUUUGGCAAAAAGAGGAGAGCUGUUCUUCCUCGGCAUUAUGUUCACUUAGCAGGGUCCCACAGCAGGAUUGCUUGGACCCCAGAGUAUUGUAGGGCUUAAUAAGACCAGCCCUUUCAUCUCACACGCUCUAUCCUUUCUCUCACUGGUGCACCCACGUCAGGUGUCUUGAGUGGGGAGUGCUCGAAUAUCUGCCACCAGCUUGAGUCAGAACCUCGACUUCCCUCAGCUUUUCAGGGUCUGUUACUGAGUCUGGUCCACACUCCAGGGUCUUUUCCUCACGGUCUGGGUCUGGUCUUUUUCAGGUGCCUACCUUUCCUCCCUGCAAACUGCCUUGAGUUGCCUCCCCUUCUCCCUUCCUUCCUGGUCUGUCAGAGACAUCUUGUCUGGGUGCAUAUUUGAACCCCAUCAGUAGACAGAAAACAUGUAUUUCCUUGAAGGCCCCUCAGACCCCAGGUACAAACAUUGAAGUAAAUAACAGCAGGGAUGGGGGUUCUGCCUCGCUUCACCUGCCAGCCACGUGCAGACCUUGUUUCAGUCCAACUGAGACUUUAGCAAGUGCUUCAUUCUGGUUUGUGAAUGGCUUCCCAGUGUCUGUCACUGUGUUCACAGGGCCACCGGGGUUGGCUGAGUCAGAAUACCAGCCAUGUGGCAUGUCGCAUGGGGCAAGAGCUGUGCUGCCCAUGGGAGUCCAGAGAAGGAGCACACUAAGGACCAACACCAGCUCUGCAGAUGAGCAAUAUCAUCACAACUAACCAAUUGAUCAAUUAUUCAUUCAGUCAUUUAAUGAGAAGCUACUGUGUACCCAUCCUUUCCUUGGCCUUCUGGACAGUUAGACAUGGUGCCUGUCUUCAGAUUGCUCACACACCAGUUGGAGACACAAAAGUUACAUGCAGAUACAGAGAGAAGACAGCUGUCUGCAAACCAGAAAGAGAGUCCUCACUGCACUUCAUAUCUGCCAAUGGAUCCUUGCUCUUGAACCUCCCAACCUGCAGAAUCAUGAGAAACAAACAUUGUCAUUUGCUCUAGGGGAAGCCUGCAGCUAUGUCAUGAGGACCCUCAACAGCCCUGUGCAGAGGACUAUGUGGCAUGAAAGAUACCUUCUGCCAACAACCAGCCCCAACUUGCCAAGCAUGUGAACAAGCUAAACUGAAAGCAGAUCUUCAGCCCCAAUCAAGCCUUCAGAUGACAGUAACCUCAGCCAAUAUACUGACUAUAACCUCAUAAAAGACCCUGAACCAGAACCCUCUAAGCCACUCUCAAACUCUACCCCACAUAAACUGUGAAAUAAUAUAUGUUUAUUGUUAUUUUGGGCCACUAAGUUUAGGGGUAAUUUGUUAUGCAGCAAUUAUAUAACCAAUAUUCCAACUAAAGCUGAAAUGCCUCCUGCAUUUCCUCCCUCAGUGGCCUACACUACAAUCCAAGUUCAGGAAAAAACGAGAACCUUAUUUAAGGUAGUGGCAAGAAAUGAAUGGAUUAACUGGACAUUUAAAAAGUAUUUGAUAGAACUUGGUGAUAGGAGGUGGGGCAGUUAGGGACUAGCAGGAAUUUAGGAUGAGAGGCUCAUUCAGUUGGGCUUAUGUUUUACUGAGGUCAAUUCCAAAAGGAAGGAAAGAAAAAUCCAGCCAAAUAACCUUUAAUGGACUAAGUCUUCUUUCAUAAGUCAGUUUGCACAACUUCUUCACAGGAAUCAGAUUUUAAAUAUCAUAACUGAAGAGAAAAAAAACAGCAAGAGGAGUUUACCUUUAUGGUGGAAUGACACUAAUCUUUCAUGCUUUCAAAUUUCUUGAAAUUUCCUUCGUAUGCAUUAUCUUAUUUGCUGUUCACAGUAAAACUGUGUAUUGGCUAAGCCAGUUUUUAUGAAAAUAUAAGCAGUGAGAAAAAGUAAGAUAGUAUGUCAGUUAGUAGAUUUUUUUAUGGACAUUGUGACAGAGGACACAACUUAAACUGGCUUUUUUUUUUUUUUUUUUUUUUUUGAGACAGAGUUUUGCUCUUGUUGCCCAGGCUGGAGUGCAAUGGCACGAUCUCGGCUCACUGCAACCUCCGCCCCCUGGGUUCAAGUGAUUCUCCUGCCUCAGCCUCCCGAGUAGCUGGAAACACAGGUGCCUGCCACCGCGUCCGGCUAAUUUUUUGUAUUUUUAGUAGAGAUGGAGUUUCACCAUGUUGGCCAGGCUAGUCUCAAACUCCUGACCUCAGGUGAUCCACCUGCCUCAGCCUCCCAAACUGCUGGGAUUACAGGUGUGAGCCACCGCACCUGGCAAAAGGGUUUUGUUUCUAAAGGUACAAGAACAGGUACAGCUUCGGGUCAGUGUGAUUCAGCCCUCAACAAAGCCACCAGGAUCCAUUUCUUGGCUCUGCUUCAUUGCUUCUCAUAGGCUGGCUCAUUCUCAGACUGUACGUGAUAUGGUUCAGUGGCUUUAGGCUCCAAGCAUGACAACACCCAACACUCAGAUUGAUGGAGCUAGAGCAAGUCUCUUCAGGCAGCGUCUAGGAAAGUUCUGAAAUUCACUCUGAUUGGCUGCCCAUCUCUGAAUCAACCACGUAACCCAAGGAAAUAGGAACUGCUGAUGGGUCAGGGUCGGUUCACAUGCUUCAUACCUGGAGCUGAGAAGACAUCAACUCCAUCCUGGAGCUCAUGGGCUGUGACUAGAGCAGACGGAGUUCUCAGAGGAAAGUCAGAGUACAGUUAUCAAAGCAAGCAGUUACAGAUGCUAGAUGACCAAAAUCCAAUAACUGCCCAGUAAAAAUAUUAUACUAAAAUCUAGGAACAUGUGGCUGAUGGACAGUCAUUACCAGGAAAAAAAAGUUGUUAGGUCUAAAUGUAAAAAUUGAGGCAAAGAAAGUGCCCGAGCUAGAAUUAGAACCCUGACUACCUGAAUAUUAGAUCGGUUAGUGCCACUUCUACCCUACCGCUGCUGAGGGGGGAGGUGAACAGUCUCUCAGGUUGCAGACAGUGGAUGGUUUCCCUCCCUCUAUCUUCUCAUUUCAUGGUGGAGCUGAAUCAUCCUAUGUUCUACAUGCUGACAGUGGAAGGUUAUGACCAUACCCAUAUCCUGUUGUCUCUGAGUCUCCUGUGGUGCAGAGAUCCCUGAGACUUGUAGAACAGAACCUGAGUGGAAAGUGGGAGGGGGAUUGGGGGUGGUUCCCACGAAUCAAGCAGCAACCUGGAGACAAGGAACACCUGCAACCUCAGCAGUGGAUCAGAACGGCUGACUGAGCAAUGGACAUACUGUGCAUCUUUCAUUAGUGCUGAGACCAACUUCUAGCUUGGAGUCCCAUGAAAGGGAAACUUAGCCCUAACACCACAACAAGGAGCACAGUGUCAAGUGGGGACAUUGCAGCAGAGUUGCCGCAAAGACUCUGAAGUGCUAUGGGAAGGGAUAUUUCCUAGGAGGGGUUAAAGGGAUUCUCCUUAAGAAGGGGGCUGGGGGAAUCUGAGUAAGAGGUGGGGGAAAGCAGCCAAAGCAUGAUACUUAGUCAUAGCAUCACAAGAAUUUGACUCAGAGUUCCUACAAGGUUGUCCUAAAAUGCCCUGGUUCAGGUGGGUCAGCUUUGAAAGCACCCAAAUUACCCCGUUUUCUGUACUAUGUUUAAAGGCAAUUUGAAAGAAAGACCCCUAAUUUGGAAACAUGUGCUAAGGCUAAAUCACUUUUUCAACUGAAAAUUCUUUUUUAUGUAUUGUUACACUCCAUUUUCUGUCUUGUGUUUUUUGUUGUUG